AGAAAGGACUGCAGCUCAGUGGCAGAGCACCUGCUUGGCAUGCAGAAGGCCCUGGGUUCAAUUCCCCAGCCUCUCCA